rnacentral:rRNA from 1 species
GGCGGCAUGCUUUACACAUGCAAGUCGAACGGCAGCGCGGGGCAACCUGGCGGCGAGUGGCGAACGGGUGAGUAAUAUAUCGGAACGUACCCAAGAGUGGGGGAUAACGUAGCGAAAGUUACGCUAAUACCGCAUACUAUCUAAGGAUGAAGGUGGGGGAUCGCAAGACCUCAUGCUCCUGGAGCGGCCGAUAUCUGAUUAGCUAGUUGGUGAGGUAAAGGCUCACCAAGGCGACAAUCAGUAGCUGGUCUGAGAGGACCACCACCCACACUGGAACUGAGACACGGUCCACACUCCUACGGGAGGCAGCAGUGGGGAAUUUUGGACGAUGGGCGCAAGCCUGAUCCAGCAAUGCCGCGUGAGUGAAGAAGGCCUUCGGGUUGUAAAUCUCUUUUGUCAAGAAAGAAACGGUUGAGGCUAAUAUCCUCGGCUAAUGACGGUACCUGAAAAAUAAGCACCGGCUAACUACGUGCCAGCAGCCGCGGUAAUACGUAGGGUGCAAGCGUUAAUCGGAAUUACUGGGCGUAAAGCGUGCGCAGGCUGUUUUGUAAGUCUGUCGUGAACGCCCCGGGCUCAACCUGUGAAUUGCGAUGGAGACUGCAAUGCUUGAAUCUGGCAGGGGGGGGAUAUAUUUCCACGUGUAGCAGUGACAUGCGUAGAGAUG